AGUGGGGAAUUUUGGACAAUGGGCGCAAGCCUGAUCCAGCCAUGCCGCGUGCAGGAUGAAGGCCUUCGGGUUGUAAACUGCUUUUGUACGGAACGAAACGGCUCUUUCUAAUAAAGGGGGCUAAUGACGGUACCGUAAGAAUAAGCACCGGCUAACUACGUGCCAGCAGCCGCGGUAAUACGUAGGGUGCGAGCGUUAAUCGGAAUUACUGGGCGUAAAGCGUGCGCAGGCGGUGAUGUAAGACAGUUGUGAAAUCCCCGGGCUCAACCUGGGAACUGCAUCUGUGACUGCAUCGCUGGAGUGCGGCAGAGGGGGAUGGAAUUCCGCGUGUAGCAGUGAAAUGCGUAGAUAUGCGGAGGAACACCGAUGGCGAAGGCAAUCCCCUGGGCCUGCACUGACGCUCAUGCACGAAAGCGUGGGGAGCAAA
rnacentral:rRNA from 1 species